AUGAAUGUUUGCAGAUUUUUUAAGUCCCGAAAGGAAACACUGAAGAAGGAACUUAAGCAUGUUGGCAAAAUUAGCCUCACAUGUGAUCUCUGGACCUCUAACCAAACUCUCUGUUAUAUGAGCUUGGUGGCACACUAUAUUGAUUCAGAAUGGAAUAUGCAGUACCGUGUGAUUAGUUUUCUUGAACUGGAGCCACCACACACAGGUAUUGUGAUAUCUCAGGCUAUAUUUGAGUGCCUUUCUGAUUGGAAGAUUGAAGACAAAAUUGCAACUAUAACUCUUGAUAAUGCUUCUUCCAAUGACGUGGCUGCUCGUCAACUGAUGUCCAAGUUUAAGGCCAGAGGAAGUGUGUUUUUCCAUGGUAAAUUUUUUCAUGUCAGAUGCUCUGCUCAUAUACUCAACCUUUUAGUAUCAGAUGGCCUAAAGGCUAUAGAACCACUCAUUGAGAAUAUCAGGCAAACUGUUAAGUAUUUGAAGAAGUCGCCAUCUCGGCUCUACAAAUUUACUGAGAUUGUCAAGUCACUUAACAUGUCAACCAAGAGGGGGUUGUGUCUUGAUGUUCCAACUAGAUGGGGAUCCACAUACAAGAUGCUUGAGCGUGCCUUUUCUUUCAAAAAUGCAUUUUUACAUUAUGCAGAUUUGGAUGCCAAUUAUAAGUGGGAGCCAUCUAGUGAAGAGUGGAGGUUGUAUGCUAAAAUAAGGGAUAUUUUAGCAGUGUUGAGCAUGGCGACAACUGUGUUUUCUGGAUCAACCUAUCCUACAGCUAAUGAGUUCUUUCUUCUAAUUGUGAAUGUUAAGAAGGUCCUCGAUGAUGCAUCUGUCUCUACAGAUAAAUUCUUGCAUGAUAUGGGAAAUGCUAUGCUUCAGAAAUUUGAGAAGUAUUGGAAAGAGUGCAGUACUUUGCUGUCAAUAGCGUCAAUUCUGGAUCCAAGGUACAAGAUGGAUCUAAUUAAUUUAUGUUUUCCCAAGAUAUAUGUUGCUAGUGACAUUGAACACAACAUUGACUCAGUAAGUUCAACACUGAAGGAGUUGUAUGAACAUUAUGAGAGUGACCACACAACCAACUUGGUUGCAGCAGAAAAGAAAGUGGAUAAUCAGGCCGUCGCUUCAGAAAAUGGGACAUCAAGCAAUAGUCUCAUGGCAAUUUCAACUCAGUUUCGUACCUUCAUGAAGACUACUGCUAAAAAGGUUUCCAAGUCAGAUCUAGUUGCAUACUUAGAUGAGGCUGCACUUAAUCAUUCAGAAGACUUUGAUGUGCUACUUUGGUGGAAGCAAAAUUCAUCAACGUAUCCAAUACUAUCCAAGGUUGCGAAAGAUAUUCUUACUGUGCCAGUCAGUACUGUUUCUUCGGAAUCAUCAUUUAGUACUGGAGGCAGAGUGCUUGAUAAUUAUAGAAGCUCUUUACUCCCAAAUACUGUUGAGGCUUUGGUGUGUUCAGCUAGUUGGAUUAGAGGCUCCCAAAAGAAAAAGAAAGCUAACAAGGAUAAAGAAGACCAGGAUGACUUACUUGAAGUUCCUUUUCUGGAUAAAGAUCCUUCGAUCGUUUCUACAGACUAG
rnacentral:rRNA from 1 species